rnacentral:lncRNA from 1 species
UUUUAAGAAAGACUGAAUUCAAAAUAUUUGAUUCGCCAUUCGACCUUCCACGUGCCUCCGACCUUUAAAACCUGAAAAUGUUAAAUAUGGGAUGAGUAUACAGGGUACACUCAGUGUGGGAAACAUGCAAUCAUUGUCCACGUUAAUAAAAUGAGAAUCACAUAUGAUCAAUACAUUCGUAACUGAAAGUCGCACUGUGGCAUACCAAGGACCUUUCCGUCCUGGACCGAUUGAGCCGGCCCCUGGCGACUGGUUGCAACCAUAACUUUAACAUGAAAUCGCAUUGUGGCAUACCAAGGACGGUGAAGUCCUGGACCCAUUGAGCGGGCCCCUAGCGAUAUAAUUUAAUGCAACUCACAUAUGGUAAACACAUGAUAUUAAAAUGGACAAGAAUUAACCACGGGCAUGUACUGAAAUAAAUCCCACACCUGAAACUUUGAACUUGAACUUCAACUUGAACUUGAAAGCUAACUUGAGUAAAUCAAUUAAAAGUAACGUCCUAGUCGCGCCGCACCUAGUCAGAUGAAUUCAAAUAAUAAUACAUAAGGGCCUAAUUGAACUUUAAAAUAAUAAUAGUAGUAGUUUAAAUCAUAAAAUCAUUUGAAAUCAUUGGUCUAAUAAAUUAUAAAAGAACUUUUAUAAAAAGAUUUGACCCCAAUAUUUAAUUAAAACUAAAUUUGAAUUAAUAAUUCAAGUCCAAAUAUAAUAUGAAUGAUGUCCUUUAUAAAAUGAUAUGCAAAUGCAAGUCCAUUUGAUAAAAUAAAUUAGUGCAAUAGCUAAUCAAAUUAUAGCCCAAUCAUUUAAUAAAUUGAACCCAUUAACUAUCAACCAUCCUAGGCCCAAGCCCAUACUUCCCUUCCCACUUAAUUUAAUCAUACCCACACAACUCCAAAACACCACUUCACGCAGCCUCCUCACUCCCACUCUCUCAACCGACCACCCCCCAUCCUUCUCCUCCUCUUCUUGGCCCCCUGCCGCUGCCACCAGACGGCACGCCGCCGCCGGAGGCCGGCGGCUCUGCCUCCUUUCUCUUCCCCCUUUUUCCUAUCUCCUUCUCACCCCUCACUUCUCGCUCUCCUCCCUCAUCUUUCUUCCUCCUCCCUUGCCACCGUCUCGGCCGCACCAGCUACGGCCGUUCCUUUCUCCGGCGGUGACCUUCGCCGCCCGCCAGCGUUACCACCCUAUCCAUGCCUCCCACCUCUCAUCUCCUUCUCGCCGACAACAGCCACGGCAAUAGCAGCAGCUGAUCGGCCCGCCACCUCCCUUUUCAGAUCCGGCGCCACCACUGCCCCUGUCUCUCUCUCUCUCCGCCCUUGCCGCCCCUCGACAGACAGCAGCAGCCGGUCAGGCUGCUUCCCCCCUUUCACCUCUCCGGCGACAACAAUCUUCACCAACAAUUCUUCCAUUCAUUUCCUUUUCUUUUCUUCUAAUUCCUUACUAUUAUUCUUUUAAUUCUUCCCUUUUCUUUUGAUUUUUCAUGUAAAAUUGUUGGAUUAGUGCAUGAGAAAUAAAAUGAUUAUGCUUGGUUGGGCUUCUGUAUAAAGUAGAUGAGAACAAGAUAUAAGAUGAUUGUUUAUUGUGAUGAAAUAAAAGAAUGAAGGUUUCAACGACAUAAAGAAAUUACCGUUUANCGUCCUGGACCGAUUGAGCCGGCCCCUGGCGACUGGUUGCAACCAUAACUUUAACAUGAAAUCGCAUUGUGGCAUACCAAGGACUUUAAUGUCCUGGACCCAUUGAGCGGGCCCCUAGCGAUAUAAUUUAAUGCAACUCACAUAUGGUAAACACAUGAUAUUAAAAUGAACAAGAUUAACCACAGCAUGUACUGAAAUAAAUCCCACACCUGAAUUUUGAACUUGAACUUGAACUUGAAAGUUAAUUCUGAUAAUUCAAAUUAAAAUCCAUGUCCUAGUCGCGCCGCAC